UAAGAACAUAUUCCGUAUAUAUAAUUAAGUUGUAAUAAAUACUGUAGACUUUUUUAUUAUCUCACCACAGCUAUGCCAAUGGGUGGACCACAAGACCUUGAAAAAAUUAGAAGUACCCUGUACCCUGGAAAAGCCUGCCCGCCUCUGACCUAGAUGAUCACUCGAUCCUCACUGGUGACUCCAGAACAAUGAGGGGUCGAGAAUUACUUUAGCUGCAUGAGGGUAGCGUCAUGAUGAUUUCACAAGUCAUUUUCACAGCUCUAAUCGGCUGCCGAUUGUACCAAAUGAAGCUUCGCUUGAAAUAUAAUGCCUUUCCACUGUUCAGUCUUCAAUUGCAAAGGAAAUUAUGAUACCAGUCCCAAAGUGUCCAUCUUUAAAUUUCCGGAGGAUGAAAAAUUAAAAGAACAAUGGAUUCACAGGCUCCUUAAGGAUUUCAAGCCCAGCAAAAGCUCAAGAGCCUGUGAACUGCAUUUUAGAGAGGAAGAUGUUAUAAAAAAUAUGGAAUAUUUUCAUGAAGAAAGUGGCUGCUUUCUGAUCAUUUAUUUUUAUGUAUUUUUUUAG